ACUAUAGGUGCUAUGUGUUAGUGAAUGUGGUAACUAUGUCUUGUCCAGUGUGACACCCUACAGACUCCUCUGCCUCCUUCUCUUUCUGCCUCCUUCCCCACAAAGUUCCCUAAGCUUUGGUAAGGAGAGUUGAAAUAAAGAUGUCUCAAUUGGAAUAAAAACCUAGUCUCUUUUUUAAAAAGAAUACAUACUGGUUGAGAUAUAUACACUGCACUUUUAAAUUUGUUCUUCAGGUUCUACUGUUUAGAUUCCAGUAAUUUUAUAGUAUAAAAUAAGCAUAACAUGACUUUUGUAGCUACACCAUAGUCUAUUUAUCUAUGUGUAAUAAUUUAUUGGAUCGGGUAGCUGCACCACAGUCCAUUUAUCAUUGUGUGAUAAUUUAUUGGAUUGGGUCCUUAUUCCUGGGCAUGUGGAAUGUUUCUCGUAAAUACCUCUGUGUUUUCUAUAAGGUGCCUUAAGCUUUUCAUCUGGUUAUUUCCUUAGGAUACAUUCUUAAAGUAAAUUCACAAGGCCAGGUGGAAGGAACUGAUUUAAGAGCCUUGAUAUAUAUUGCCAAAUUGCCCUCCAGAAAGUUCUUUCUUGCUUAUAGAAGAAAAGAAAUAAUCCAUCUUCUAAGUCUACCCUAAUCAUUUUUAUGUAGUAUUCCUUUGAACCUUUGAACUUCUCUGGUUUUAGGGCUCAGAAUUGCUUAUUUUUAAAUACAUGUUUCCCCCUCCCAGAGGAUUAGCAAACUAAUCACUGUGUUUCAUAUAUAGCCAAACGAUAUAGCUCUCUUGAUUUUUCUUAGAAAAGGUUUUGAAAUACACCAUUUUUUUUUAUUGUUUAAAUUAUUUCUUUCCAGGGUGAACCAGGAGCCAAAGGAGACUCUGGUCUGGAUGGCCUCAAUGGACAAGAUGUAAGCCUAAUUCUCCUUUAAAUAAUGUUCUGUUUAGAUUUUUACCACUGACAUAUUCUUUCUAAUGCAAUUAAAGCUGGCUGUCCUUGGCAGAGCUAGCCACAGUCAAACAAAUGGAGGGAUGGAGGCAGAUUUUUACACAGUUAUUUUACAGCCGUGUUUUCGUUUCAUUACUGGGCUCUCAAGGCUUCAUUUGUCUCAUGAAUGUCUUUUCUUCCUCUUUAUUUCUUGCUGACUUUUUAAAAAGCCUUACUUUUCACUAUCAAUUUCUUCCUGCAUAUGUUCAGUAGUGACCUGUGUUCCCAGCUGGCAGUCACGGUUCAUGUCACCCAUGUCUCCCUCUAGUGAAAGGCUGUGUCUGUAGGAUUGCAUUUAUGUAGAGAGGAGAAGGGAGAAAAGGAAGGCUAUGUUCUAGGCUCAUACACUCUUACAGAAAGCAAUGACCUUUUGACCACCCCAUACAACUGUAGAGUGCUUCAAGCUUAAGCAUGCUACAGCCUUUAACAUGUCUGCAAUUCAAAUCCUGCCCUUUCACUAGAGAGCUAUUGCUCCUCCUUACAGAGUGCUACCACAGAUCUUAGGCUGAAAUUUGAACAAUAGGCUAAUUUUCCAUUUUAUUUUAUUUUUUAUUUUUGGAAUGUACCUAUUCAAAUCAACAGUCACUUCUUUCUAUUGAAACACAGAUUGAACUGGGAGCUUACAGUUACAACCCUCAUCCCCCAUUUAUAUUUUCAUUUAUAUAUACACUGCUUAUAUGGCUUAAAGGGCCACAUUACCUAGUUUAUGAAUCAAGUCUAUCAAAGGAAACACUACCUACAGCUCUCUCUGUCUAGUUGCAUAAUUCAGGAAGCCUUUGAAAUCCUUAACAUGGCUAGAGGUAUUCUGAAAUUCAUCUUGUGUGCAGUAGACCUUCACAGCAGGAAAGAAGGCUGAAAACCAAUCUUUGUGGACUGUGGAGGAAGUAAAAGAGUUUGUAAGAGACUUGCUUCCAAAAGAGAAAUCUCUCAGGAGUCACCCCCAGCACAAGCUUUGUUGUACCACGCUUGGCUUUAGCUCCUGUGUAGUUCCCAAGAAUAUCCAUUCACGUUGCUACUGGGACACCAAAUGUCCAUUCACAUUUUACUGUGAUACCGCUCCUUCUUGCUCUUCCCCUUCACAAUGGAUUCCCUAGACUGUGGUGGCACUAGAACCAAUGGCUUCCCACCAAGGAGUCUGUACAUACUCUCGACGCCUUCUCUUGCUACAUCAGGAUGCUGACCAAUUUGUUUAAAUGCAGCCUCUAACCUACUUUGAUAUCACUGCACAAUGGUACUCCAUUCAAUGGUAAGAGUUCGGGAGCAAAGGCCCAUAUUUUACCCUACCUGUGCCAUUCAUUGAACAAGGCCAGACCUAUGGAGAGUGCACUUAUGGGAAGACAAGAAUUCCUCCUGAAUGGGAUGGUCCUGCAGGACGUAAGCACAACUCCAGUAAGAAAGGUUUCUAUUCCUUUCAUCCUGUGAUUUCUUGAGACUAAGGAGUAUGCCACCAAGCAAGAAACAGCCCACUAAUUUUCUCAGCAAGUCACCUGCCAUAAUGCUUUGAUCUAGCAUGCCAAAAAAGCUAGCAGAAGACUGAGUUUCAGAUUUCUAAUGAAAGUAGUUUCUGAAAAAGAAUGUGUUCAUGGCCAUCUUCCCAGCUAAUAUGACUAAAGAAGAAAGCAAGAUCUCAUUACUUGCUCCUACUUCUUGGUCAUGGCUUCUGAAUAUCUCAGGGGAAAAUCAAGGAAGGAAAACACCAUCUACAUGUCAACUAGGGAAAUAGUAAAAUCACCCUUUAAUUCUGAAUGGCUGAUGGAAAAGUCUCAUUUUCCCACUACAUCAUGCCCCUCACCACUGCAUUUCAGCACUUGUGACAAUUCAUGCUGACCUUGUAAUUACAGGCAUACCUUUUAGGGAAUAUAUUGUAUGUUAAUGGUGAUUUUAAAUCUCACUAAAACUGAGUCACUAUAGGGAUUUUAGCUUCCAGAACAUUCAGUUAGAAUGCAAGUGAGCAAAUUCAAUAUACUAAGCUUGCCACCUUCUAAGCUACUUUCUACAUUACAGUGACUUGUAAUGAUUUAAUAUUUCCACUAAAUGAAUUCAAAAAGGCCUGUCUUGAUGGCUUUCACUGUUGCAUAUUGGAUUUAUUGUGAUGUGAUGACCCGUAUAAUACAUCUUUCUGUGCCAACUUUUUCACAAAAUAGCUAGUCUACUUAGCUUAGAAAAAGAAAGCAUACUGUGGUCCGUUCUUUUUCAGCUGGGCACUGUGGGAUUUAGGACAAGGCACUUCUCUGCCAUGUGAGAUUGUCUUUAUGUAUAUGUAUGCAUAGAAAUAUGCAUACAAUAGCAUUUAACUUAAAAAGAGGCCAUGAAUUUGAAAGAGAGCAAGGAAAGGUGUGUGGGAGAUUUGAGAGGGAGGAAAAGGCAAGGAGAAAUGUAAUUACAUUAUAAGCUC
rnacentral:lncRNA from 1 species